CGGGACGGGUGAGUAAUGUCUGGGAAACUGCCCGAUGGAGGGGGAUAACUACUGGAAACGGUAGCUAAUACCGCAUAACGUCGCAAGACCAAAGAGGGGACCUUCGGGCCUCUUGCCAUCGGAUGUGCCCAGAUGGGAUUAGCUAGUAGGUGGAGUAACGGCUCACCUAGGCGACGAUCCCUAGCUGGUCUGAGAGGAUGACCAGCCACACUGGAACUGAGACACGGUCCAG
rnacentral:rRNA from 1 species